AGCGUGGGUAGCGAACAGGAUUAGAUACCCUGGUAGUCCACGCCGUAAACGAUGACAACUAGCUGUUGGGAAGCUAUGCUUUUCAGUGGCGCAGCUAACGUCUUAAGUUGUCCGCCUGGGGAGUACGGCCGCAAGGUUAAAACUCAAAUGAAUUGACGGGGACCCGCACAAGCGGUGGAGCAUGUGGUUUAAUUCGAUGCAACGCGAAAAACCUUACCUACACUUGACAUACUUGGAAUCUUUUGUAAUGAAAGAGUGCCUUUUGGAGCCAAGAUACAGGUGCUGCAUGGCUGUCGUCAGCUCGUGUCGUGAGAUGUUGGGUUAAGUCCCAUAACGAGCGCAACCCUUACCCUUAUUUGCCAGCGAUUCGGUCGGGAACUAUAAGGGGACUGCCGGUGAUAAACCGGAGGAAGGUGAGGACGACGUCAAGUCAUCAUGGCCCUUACGUGUAGGGCUACACACGUGCUACAAUGGGGAGUACAGAUAGACGCUAAAGCGCGAGCUGGUGCUAAUCUCAUAAAACUCUUCGUAGUCCGGAUUGCAGUCUGCAACUCGACUGCAUGAAGUCGGAAUCGCUAGUAAUCGCGAAUCAGCAUGUCGCGGUGAAUACGUUCUCGGGUCUUGUACACACCGCCCGUCACACCAUGGGAGUGUAUUGCACCAGAAGUGGGUAGUCUAACCUUCGGGAGGGCGCUCACCACGGUGUGGUCCAUGACUGGGGUGAAGUCGUAACAAGGUAACCGUA
rnacentral:rRNA from 1 species